rnacentral:rRNA from 1 species
CAAGCGUUGUUCGGAAUUACUGGGCGUAAAGGGCUCGUAGGCGGCCAACUAAGUCGGACGUGAAAUCCCUCGGCUUAACCGGGGAACUGCGUCCGAUACUGGAUGGCUUGAGUUCGGGAGAGGGAUGCGGAAUUCCAGGUGUAGCGGUGAAAUGCGUAGAUAUCUGGAGGAACACCGGUGGCGAAGGCGGCAUCCUGGACCGACACUGACGCUGAGGAGCGAAAGCCAGGGGAGCAAACGGG